AAAAGUAAAUAAACGCCCUCAAGUUAGGAAUGAACGGAGGAAAUGGGUUAAACGAGAAUAAAUAAUUGAAGGCAGAGAGGUAAAGAACUUCCUCUUUCAACGCAUCUCAAAAUUUGGCGUGGAUGCAGAUCACCUACAGAGUAUGAUUAUUCAUCUUUACAUUGCCUUGUUUUGAGAUGAUGAAACUGAGGUUCAAGCCAAUGACAAGCCUGAAGCCACAUGGCUAGUGAGUGGCAGAGUCAGAACUCAAACCCAAAUCCACCUGACCCCAAACUUCAUGUAUCUUGAACUACAGGCUCCAUCUCACUGUUCACACUCUCACCCACCUCCACCCAUCAAAGGUGCCUCUAGACCUUUGCUUGUGUUGUUUGUUCUCUGCCUGACAUGCCUCCCCCUCAGUCGCUCUCAGUUGAAACCUGGCUUAGUCAUCAAGUGCCUGCUCAGCAGCAAGACCUCUUCUCUUCACAGAGCCUUUGUUGAGCCCCACCACUGGAAUUAACCUCUUCCUUCCAGACCAGUUUGGUGGUGCCCCUAAUCCACAGUUUCCCAACCUCAGCCCUACUGACACUGGGGCUGGAUAAUCUUUGUCGUGGGGGCUGUCGUGUGCACUGCAGGAUAUGGAGCAGUACCCCUGCUUUCCACCCACGAGAUGCCAUGGCACCCUCCUCAAGUUGCAACAACCAAAAUAUGUCUUCAGACAUUGCCACUGUCCCCUAGGGUACUAAAUCACCUCUAUGGAGAACCACUGUCCUAAGCUACAAUACUCACUGCCCUCUGUUUUGAGCCAUAAAUAGUUGUGUCUGUGUCUAUCUUACCAGUAAAGCCUGGGUUCUCAAACUAAGUUGUCAGCAGCAGACAGACAGGUAACCCUGGUGUAGCAGGGGCAAACUGGCCUUCUGAUGUCCCGGCAACAGGGGUCCAUCACACUCAGCCGGUGGUUGUCGUGCAGGACUGUGGGCCCAUUGUUGCUAGAUCUGAUUUUUCAAGACAUUUUCUUUUUUUCGUUUGUUUUUGUUUUGUUUUAGAUGGAGUCUAACUCUGUUGCCCAGGCUGUAGUGCAAUGGCACGAUCUCAACUCACCACAACUUCCACCUCCCAGGUUUAAGUGAUUCUCCUGCCUCAGCCUUACAAGUAGCUGGGAUUACAGGUGCCCGCCACCACGCCCGGCCAAUUUUGUGUAUUUUUAGUAGAGAUGGGGUUUCACCAUGUUGGCCAGGCUAGUCUCGAACUCCCUACCUCAGAUGAUCCACCUGCCUUGGCCUCCCAAAGUGCUGGGAUUACGGGCGUGAGCCACCGCGCCCAGCUCAAGACAUUUUCAUGUAUAAUUUCCAUGUUUAAAAAAAAAAUGCUGGCAAACAAUUCAAUUCUGAAACAAAGGAACAAAAACAAACCAUGUGCCCCAGAAAGUCAUCCAUGGACUGACUCUGGCCCGUGGGCUUCCAAUCUGCAAACUCUCUCUAGAACGUGACCUCUGCUUCAGGCACCAAGGCAGCCUGCAUGUUCACUAACGUGCAGGUCCUUAAAUCUCCUGCAAAAUAGCCAAGGGGCUGUAGUGUUCCACCAGCUCCAAGAGUUGCAAAAUCAGCAUUUUAAAUUACAGUCAUGAGCAGACAAGUGGGGUCUGUUGACACAUGUUGGGUAAGCCUCCCCUCUAGGGAGGAUUAUCCCCCCUCCCCCACACCACAAUCCAUCACCCUCACACUCAGGCCUGAAGCAACCCCCUGUGCCAGCCUCCCCGAGCUCCAGCUUCCCAGUGAGAUCAAAGAUCCUUGGAAGGCGGUUUCCUGCCACCUGCACCAGUGAGGACAAAGGUAAGGUGAGAGGAAUUGUAGGCCUUGGCUUUAUCCUCAAUCUGCUCGUUCACCAGUUCCCAGGCCAAUCAGGCCAAAAAUGCUUCUGGUUUCCAGAAACAACCCUACUACACUAAGAAAAGGGGUUGUUCUGGGUGGGGCGUGGUGGCUCACGCCUGUAAUCCCAGCACUUUAGGAGGCCAAGGUGGGUGGAUCAUCUGAGGCCAGAAGUUCGAGACCAGGCUGGCCAACAUGGUGAAACCCUGUCUCCGGUAAAAAUAUAAAGAUUAGCUGGGCAUGAUGGCACGUGCCUGUAAUUCCAGCUACUUGGGAGGCUGAGGCAGGAGAAUCACUUGAACCCAAGAGGCAGAGGUUGCAGUGAGCUGAGAUCAUGCCACUGCACUCCAGCCUGGGCGACAAGAAUGAAACUCGGUCUUGAAGGAAAAAAUAAAAUAAAAUAAAAUAAAAUGGGUUGUUCUGGAAGGGUAUCCAUACAGUGACAUCUUCAAAAUAGCAAAAGCUGUUAUUAGCUGAGCCCUUACUAUGUGCCAAGCACCAUGCCAGUCACUUCAUGUGCAGAGACUCAGUUAUUCCUCAUGACAACCCUAAGAAGUAGAUACUUUUCUUAAGCCCAAUUUAGAGAUGAGGACAUUGAGGCUUGGACAGGUGAUGUGACCUACCCCAGACCACACAGCUAGGAGAAGGUAGAGCCAGGAACCCAUCCCCACCCUGGGAACCCUUAUAAAGGGUUCCUCUUAGGUGUCUCAGUAAUCAGGAUGGUGGUUCUUAACAUAACGUCUUACCCACUAUCCUGGAUUGGCACCGUGGAAGAAUACUCUGGGGAAUUUUUUUUUUGGAAAUACAGGUUUUAUGAAAACACACACAUACACGCACACAAAUUUUGAACUGUAUUUAAUGAAAUGCCUGCCAAAGUAUGCAAAGGGGCAGUGGAUGGAUGUCUCUUACUUACUUUGGAUGCAACUUACUUUGAAAUGCAACAAGAAAUAAGGUGGAUGGCUGGGCGUGGUGGCUCACGCCUGUAAUCCCAGCACUUUGGGAGGCCAAGGCAGGUGGAUCACAAGGUCAGGAGAUUGAGACCAUCCUGGCUAACACGGUGAAACCCUGUCUCUACUAAAAAAUACAAAAAAUUAGCCAGGCGUGGUGACGAGCACCUGUAGUCCCAGCUACUCUGGAGGCUGAGGCAGGAGAAUGGCGUGAACCCGGAAGGCGGAGCUUGCAGUGAGCUGAGACGGCGCCACUGCACUCCAGCCUGGGCGACAGAGUGAGACUCCAUCUCAAAAAAAAAAAAAAAGAUAAGAAAUAAGGUGGAUGGAUGGGUGGAUAGAGGGAAGGACAGGUGGCUAGAGCUGAGAUAAGGCAACUAGAGUCAACUGUUCAUUGUGGAAUCCGCAUGGUGGGUGAUUGAUGUUCACUGCACAGUUCUUUCAAGAACACAACAUCUGGGGACAACUGUAGGUUCCAGGGCUGCAGCACAGCCUUCCUGCAUUGGAAUGUCUGGGGGUGGGACCCUAGAAUGAUUCUGGGGCCCAGCCCUCCCCUACUCAGUGACAAGCAAACUUCUGCUCUCUCACUCACAGAGUAUCACCAGGUCAUGUGAAAGUCGAUGCAUCUUGGCCUCUGGUGCCCCUUUUUCUCCACUUCACGCAGGCCCAGGGCUGGGCUCAAGGGAGCAUGGGUAGAAUAGGGUAAAGUCACACCUCAGUGCCUGAUGACUGACACUCUCUAGCCCUCUGCACCAGUAGUGAUUUCUGCUGUCCACGGCACACUGCCAUGGCGUGAACAGAAUGUUUGUGCCCUCUCCUCCCAAAUUCAUAUGUUCCACUGUAUGUGGUUAACUAUAAUUUAUUGUAUAGUCUCAAAAAACUAGAAUACUCUGGAUGUGGUGGUUUACGCCUGUAAUCCCAGCACUUUGGGAGGCCGAGGUGGGCAGGUUGCUUGACCUCAGGAGUUUGAGACCAGCCUGGCCAACGUGGUGAAACCCCAUCUCUACUAAAAAUACAAAAAUUAGCUGGGCGUGGUUGUGGGUGCCUGUAAUCCCAGCUACUCAGGAGGCUGGGGCAGGGGAAUCACUUGAAUUUGGGAGGCGGAGACUGCAGCAAGCCAAGAAUGUGCCACUGCACUCCAGCCUGGGCGACGAGAGGAAGACUCUGUCUCAAAAAAAAAAGGGAAAAAAUGUAAAAAGAAAAUUUAAAAAAGGAAAGAAAAAGAAACUUAAUUCCCAACGUGAAAGUGUUAGGAGGUAGGUCUUUUGGGAGGUGGUUAGGUCUCAUGAAUAAGGAUGGAGCCCUCAUGAAUGGGAUUAGUGUCCUUUUAAGAAGGGUCCCCAGAGAGCUCUUUUGCCCCUUCCACCUUGUGAAGACACAGUAAGCUAGAAUAUGAGUCCUCACCAGACACUGAAUCUCCCAGUGCCUUGAUCUUGGACUUCCCACCUCCAGAACUAUGAGCAGCCUGGGCACAGUGGCUCACACCUGUAAUCCCAGCACUUUGGGAGGCUGAGGUGGGAGCAUCACAUGAGCCCAGGAGGUGGAGGCUGCAGUGAGCCGUGACUGCACCACUGCACUCCAGCCUAGGCAACAGAGCAAGACCCCAUCUGAAAAAGAAAUUAUGAGCAAUACAUUUCUGUUGUAGGUUUCCUAGUCUAUGGUAUUUUGUUUUAAAGCCUAAACUGACUGAUACACAUUUCCAGCUCUCUUGAGGAGUCUUUAAGCACAAUCUACAUCUUGGAUAUGAUAAUAACAGUAAUGCUUCCACUACAACUACAGGCCAAGCAUGCUGCUAGCUGCUAUGAUGUAUUCCAGCUCAUUUCAUCCACAAACCCCUACCAGAGACCUACUUCUGCCCUCCCUCCCGUUAUGGGAGAAAAAAAACUGAGGCUCAAAAAGGCACUAAGCCUACAAUAAUGAAAUCUGUGUGGUACUGACAUGAGAACAGACAUAUAUAGAUCCAGAGGACAGAAUGAGUGUCCAAAAAUAAACCCAUACAUCUAUUCCUUUUCUUUUUUUCCAAGACAAAGUCUUGUUCUGUCACCCAGGCUGGAGUGCAGUGGCGUGACCUCGGCUCACUGCAACCUCCGCCUCCCAGGUUCAAGUGAUUUUCCCGCCUCAGCUUCCUGAUUAGCUGGGACUACAGGCACGCACCACCACGCCCAGCUAAUCUUUGGUUUUUUGUUUUGUUUUGUUUUGUUUUUUUGAGAUGGAGUUUCACUCUUGUUGCCCAGGCUGGAGUGCAAUGGCGCGAUCUCGGCUCACUGCAAACUCCGCCUCCCAGGUUCAAGCGAUUCUCCUGCCUCAGCCUCCCUAGUAGCUGGGAUUACAGGCAUGUGCCACCACGCCUGGCUAAUUUUGUAUUUUUGGUAGAGACGGGGUUUCUCCAUGUUGGUCAGGCUGGUCUCGAACUCCCGACCUCAGGUGAUCCGCCCACCUCGGCCUCCCAAAGUGCUGGGAGUACAGGCGUGAGCCACCACGCCCAGCCAUCUUUGUACUUUUAGUAGAGUUGGGGUUUCACUGUGUUGGCUAGGCUGGUCUCGAACUUUGGACCUCAGGUGAUCUGCCCACCUUGGCCUCCCAAAGUGCUGGGAUUACAGGCAUGAGCCAUUGCACCCGGCCCCCAGUGGCUUUUCAACAAGGGCCAACAAGGUCAUUCCAUGGGAAAAUAAUCAUUUAAUAAAUAAUGCUAGAACAAUAAGAAAAAGAAGAAAGUUCAACCUCUCUGUCUAUGUAUAGAAUGGACCAAAGGCCGAAAUAUAAGAGCUAAAACUGUAAAACUCGUAAAAGAAAACAGAAGGGUAAAUGUUCACAACCUUGGGUUUGGUGAUGGAUCUUUAGAGAUGACAGCAAAAGCACAAGCAAUAAAAGAAAAAAAUAAAUUGGACUUUAUAAAAAGUAAAAACUUUUGUGCAUCAAAGGACAUUAUCCAAAAAGUGAAGACAAUUCACAGAAUGGGAAAAAAUAUUUGCUAGUCAUAUAUCUGAUGAGGGUCUAGUAUCUAGAAUAUAUAAAGAACACUUGCAACUCAACAACAACAAAAAAACCCAAUUUAAAAAUGAGCAGCCCUCUCCCUCUCCCUCUCCCUCUGCCCCUCCCCUCUUCCCUCUUUCCACGGUCUCCCUCUGAUGCCGAGCCGAAGCUGGACUGUACUGCUGCCAUCUCUGCUCACUGCAACCUCCCUGCCUGAUUCUCCUGCCUCAGCCUGCUGAGUGCCUGCGAUUGCAGCCUCACGCCGCCACGCCUGACUGGUUUUCGUAUUUUUUGGGUGGAGACGGGUUUUCGCCGUGUUGGCCGGGCUGGUCUCCAGCUCCUAACCGCGAGUGAUCCGCCAGCCUCGGCCUCCCGAGGUGCCGGGAUUGCAGACGGAGUCUCCUCCACUCAGUGCUCAAUGGUGCCCAGGCUGGAGUGCAGUGGCGUGAUCUCGGCUCGCUACAACAUCCACCUCCCAGCAGCCUGCCUUGGCCUCCCAAAGUGCCGAGAUUGCAGCCUCUGCCCGGCCGCCACCCCGUCUGGGAAGUGAGGAGCGUCUCUGCCUGGCCGCCCAUCGUCUGGGAUGUGAGGAGCCCCUCUGCCUGGCUGCCCAGUCUGGAAAGUGAGGAGCGUCUCUGCCCAGCCGCCAUCCUAUCUAGGAAGAGAGGAGCCCCUCUUCCCGGCCGCCAUCCCAUCUAGGAAGUGAGGAGCGUCUCUGCCCGGCCGCCCAUCGUCUGAGAUGCAGGGAGCACCUCUGCCCUGUCGCCCCAUCCGGGAUGUGAGGAGUGUCUCUGCCCGGCCGCCCCUACUGGGAAGUGAGGAGCCCCUCUGCCUGGCCGGCCGCCCCGACCGGGAGGGAGGUGGGGGGGUCAGCCCCCCGCCCGGCCAGCCGCCCCGUCCGGGAGGGAGGUGGGGGGGUCAGC
rnacentral:lncRNA from 10 species